rnacentral:tRNA from 3 species
GGGCCUAUGGUCUAGUGGCAGAACACGUCAUUCGCAUUGACGAGACGGCGGUUCGAUUCCGCCUAGGUCCA